rnacentral:rRNA from 1 species
GACGAACGCUGGCGGCGUGCUUAACACAUGCAAGUCGAGCGGAAAGGCCCUUCGGGGUACUCGAGCGGCGAACGGGUGAGUAACACGUGAGUAACCUGCCCCAGACUUUGGGAUAACCCUCGGAAACGGGGGCUAAUACCGGAUACGACACAGCUUCGCAUGGGGUCUGUGUGGAAAGUUUUUCGGUUUGGGAUGGGCUCGCGGCCUAUCAGCUUGUUGGUGGGGUGAUGGCCUACCAAGGCGACGACGGGUAGCCGGCCUGAGAGGGCGACCGGCCACACUGGGACUGAGACACGGCCCAGACUCCUACGGGAGGCAGCAGUGGGGAAUAUUGCACAAUGGGCGGAAGCCUGAUGCAGCGACGCCGCGUGAGGGAUGACGGACUUCGGGUUGUAAACCUCUUUCAGCAGGGACGAAGAGUAAGUGACGGGACCUGCAGAAGAAGCGCCGGCCAACUACGUG